CAAGUGGCGGGCUGCCUUAUACAUGCAAGUCGAACGAACUCUGGUAUUGAUUGGUGCUUGCAUCAUGAUUUACAUUUGAGUGAGUGGCGAACUGGUGAGUAACACGUGGGAAACCUGCCCAGAAGCGGGGGAUAACACCUGGAAACAGAUGCUAAUACCGCAUAACAACUUGGACCGCAUGGUCCGAGCUUGAAAGAUGGCUUCGGCUAUCACUUUUGGAUGGUCCCGCGGCGUAUUAGCUAGAUGGUGGGGUAACGGCUCACCAUGGCAAUGAUACGUAGCCGACCUGAGAGGGUAAUCGGCCACAUUGGGACUGAGACACGGCCCAAACUCCUACGGGAGGCAGCAGUAGGGAAUCUUCCACAAUGGACGAAAGUCUGAUGGAGCAACGCCGCGUGAGUGAAGAAGGGUUUCGGCUCGUAAAACUCUGUUGUUAAAGAAGAACAUAUCUGAGAGUAACUGUUCAGGUAUUGACGGUAUUUAACCAGAAAGCCACGGCUAACUACGUGCCAGCAGCCGCGGUAAUACGUAGGUGGCAAGCGUUGUCCGGAUUUAUUGGGCGUAAAGCGAGCGCAGGCGGUUUUUUAAGUCUGAUGUGAAAGCCUUCGGCUCAACCGAAGAAGUGCAUCGGAAACUGGGAAACUUGAGUGCAGAAGAGGACAGUGGAACUCCAUGUGUAGCGGUGAAAUGCGUAGAUAUAUGGAAGAACACCAGUGGCGAAGGCGGCUGUCUGGUCUGUAACUGACGCUGAGGCUCGAAAGUAUGGGUAGCAAACAGGAUUAGAUACCCUGGUAGUCCAUACCGUAAACGAUGAAUGCUAAGUGUUGGAGGGUUUCCGCCCUUCAGUGCUGCAGCUAACGCAUUAAGCAUUCCGCCUGGGGAGUACGGCCGCAAGGCUGAAACUCAAAGGAAUUGACGGGGGCCCGCACAAGCGGUGGAGCAUGUGGUUUAAUUCGAAGCUACGCGAAGAACCUUACCAGGUCUUGACAUACUAUGCAAAUCUAAGAGAUUAGACGUUCCCUUCGGGGACAUGGAUACAGGUGGUGCAUGGUUGUCGUCAGCUCGUGUCGUGAGAUGUUGGGUUAAGUCCCGCAACGAGCGCAACCCUUAUUAUCAGUUGCCAGCAUUAAGUUGGGCACUCUGGUGAGACUGCCGGUGACAAACCGGAGGAAGGUGGGGAUGACGUCAAAUCAUCAUGCCCCUUAUGACCUGGGCUACACACGUGCUACAAUGGAUGGUACAACGAGUUGCGAACUCGCGAGAGUAAGCUAAUCUCUUAAAGCCAUUCUCAGUUCGGAUUGUAGGCUGCAACUCGCCUACAUGAAGUCGGAAUCGCUAGUAAUCGCGGAUCAGCAUGCCGCGGUGAAUACGUUCCCGGGCCUUGUACACACCGCCCGUCACACCAUGAGAGUUUGUAACACCCAAAGUCGGUGGGGUAACCUUUUAGGAACCAGCCGCCUAAAGUGAACAGAAUG
rnacentral:rRNA from 1 species